rnacentral:rRNA from 1 species
UUGGAGGGCAAGUCUGGUGCCAGCAGCCGCGGUAAUUCCAGCUCCAAUAGCGUAUAUUAAAGUUGUUGCAGUUAAAAAGCUCGUAGUUGAAUUUCGGAAUCUGUCCGUCGGUCGGGCUUCACUGUCCGUACUGGUGUGAUGGGUUUCUACCUUCUGAAUAACCGGCAUGUCAUUAAUUUGGUGCGCCGGGGAAGCAGUACUAUUACCUUGAAAAAAUUAGAGUGCUUAAAGCAGGCUAUCGCCUGAAUAGAUUAGCAUGGAAUAAUAAAAUAGGACGGCAUGGUUCUAUUUUGUUGGUUUCUAGGAUCACCGUAAUGAUUAAUAGGGAUAGUUGGGGGCAUUAGUAUUCAAUUGUCAGAGGUGAAAUUCUUGGAUUUAUUGAAGACUAACUUCUGCGAAAGCAUUUGCCAAGGAUGUUUUCAUUAAUCAAGAACGAAAGUUAGGGGAUCGAAGACGAUCAGAUACCGUCGUAGUCUUAACCAUAAACUAUGCCGACUAGGGAUCGGAUGAUGUUAAUUUUUUAAUGACUCAUUCGGCGCCUUACGGGAAAC